CUGCAGAGCCCACUGUGAUCAUUCUGGGAGCUGCUGUGGGAGUGUGUGUGGUUGUGAUUAUCGCUCAGUCCAUUGUGUUUUAUAAAAGAAGAAACAGCGAACAAAGCAGUGGAAGAUCUACCAACAGUGAGCAGCCGUGGUCUGCAGUACAGAACUCAGCCAAUCAGGACGGUGAAUCUGCUGGAGUGAAUUACGCUUCUGUUCAGUUUAAAGAUCGUAAAGCUAAAGCGGGCAGAGUGAAGAGGGAACAGUCUGAGGACGUGGUUUACUCUGAUGUGAGGAGACACGCUGCUGCUAAUAAUCGAUCACAUCGCUAAAUAAUAAUAUUACACUCUUUAUACAUAAUCCCAGCUGAUGAGUGUAAUGUAAUACAUGUUAUUAAAUUCAGUAACACUUUACAAUAUGGGUACAUUCAUUAACAGUACUUACAA